GACGAACGCUGGCGGCGUGCUUAACACAUGCAAGUCGAACGGAAAGGCCCCUUUGGGGGUACUCGAGUGGCGAACGGGUGAGUAACACGUGAGUAACCUGCCCUUGGCUUCGGGAUAACUUCAGGAAACUGGGGCUAGUACCGGAUAGGAAUCCUUGCUGCAUGGUGGGGGUUGGAAAGCUUCGGCGGUUUUGGAUGGACUCGCGGCUUAUCAGCUUGUUGGUGGGGUAGUGGCUUACCAAGGCUUUGACGGGUAGCCGGCCUGAGAGGGCGACCGGCCACAUUGGGACUGAGAUACGGCCCAGACUCCUACGGGAGGCAGCAGUGGGGAAUAUUGCACAAUGGGCGGAAGCCUGAUGCAGCAACGCCGCGUGCGGGAUGACGGCCUUCGGGUUGUAAACCGCUUUCAGCAGGGGCGAAGCUUGUGGUGACGGUACCUGCAGAAGAAGCACCGGCUAACUACGUG
rnacentral:rRNA from 1 species